AUGCCAGGACUUGAUGACGAGCAAUUUAAGGAGUUCAACAACCUUAUGAGAGUAAACCAUCAAAAUAUCGUACGACUAGUAGGCUACUGCUACGAGAUCCGAUAUAAACAUUUUGAGCACAAUGGAGGAUUUAGUUUUGCUGAGAUGGCAGAAAGAGCUCUCUGCUUUGAAUAUUUUGAGGCUGGGAGCCUUGACAAACAUCUUUCCGAUGAAUCAUGUGGACUUGACUGGAAUACACGUUAUGAAAUUAUUAAAGGAAUUUGUAAAGGUGUAGAUUACCUUCAUACUGGAUCCAAAGAUUCUAUUUACCAUCUGGAUUUGAAACCUGAAAACGUACUGUUGGAUAAACAUAUGACACCAAAAAUUGGAGAUUUUGGGUUGUCAAGACUCUUCGCUUCGACAGAAACCUUUACAACAAAAAAGUUUAUAGGGACACCUGGGUACAUGCCACCGGAAUACAUCGAGAAGUGA
rnacentral:rRNA from 1 species